rfam:Asian citrus Psyllid, Diaphorina citri - Florida Strain, whole genome shotgun sequence.
GCCUAGUUAGCUUGUUCGGUAGCGCGUAUGCUUUGUGAGCAUUAGGUCGCGGGUUCGAUUCCCGCCCAGGCC